GACAUUCUAUCUGGUUUCAAAAUUUUAGAUGACAGGAAGAUAACAGAUGAAGCAUUAGCAGAGAAGUUGUGUAAAACUUUGGAGGAUAAAAAGUGUCUGGUGAUACUUGAUGAUGUUUGGACCAGUGAAGCUUGGGAUAGUCUAAAACCUGCCUUUCCAGUUGCAACGGGCCGUGAUAGCACUAGCAAGAUAUUGCUCACCUCUAGAAACAAGGGGAUAGUUUCAGAUGCUGACAUAAGAGGUAAAAUUUUCUUAAUUAGGUAAAGUUGAAUACUCUUAUUCCUUUUAUGGAAAAUAAGAGGUAAAAUUUUCUUAAUUAGGUAAAGUUGAAUACUCUUAUUCCUUUUAUGGAAAAUAACUAUGUAUAUUAUUUCAGAGUUGAAGUGCCUAAACGAUCAACAAAGUUGGGAAUUGUUUCAAAAGAUUGUAUUUCCUCAAACAGGUAAAUAUACAUAUAGCAAAAUUCUUGUUAUAUGCUAAAUUUAUUUUUCAUUUUUAAACUUUUUUGACAAUAAUUAAAAUUAAAAAUAUAUAAAAUCUAUUUUAUUUAAAAAUUUCAAAACCUUAAUAUGAAAUAAAUAAAAGAAAUCAAGGUUUUGGGGUUUAUCAAUUAAUGGUACACGCAUGCAAAUAUAAUUAAUAGGUAAAUUCAUUAUCUUUUAUAUUAUAAUUUUUUAAUAACUUGCUAUCACUUACCGGGAAUAAAUUAUAUUAGGAUCAUCUUAAAAAAUAUAAUUUUUAGGCACCAACAAAAUAAUGUCACAUGUUAAAUUUUUAAGAUAACAAAGAAUUAUUGUACACUCAUUUGUAUUUAAUAUUUUCUCCAACUUAAUUUAACUUUAAUUAAAUUAUUUAAAAUAAUUAAUUUUUUAAAUUAUAAACAAACAUCUUUUCUUCUUUUACAAGUUUUAAUCAUUUUGUUUUUUUCAUAAGUUAAAAAUUUUUAUUUUUGUGCAACCAAUUUUUAAAAAAUAGUAAUUUUUGUGUAAUAUUUUUCAUGUCAUUGAACAUAAAUUUGAUAAUUAUUUUAUCCUGAACCCAAAACCCCGAACCUUGAACUCGNNNNNNNNNNNNNNNNNNNNNNNNNNNNNNNNNNNNNNNNNNNNNNNNNNNNNNNNNNNNNNNNNNNNNNNNNNNNNNNNNNNNNNNNNNNNNNNNNNNNAACCCCGAAUCUCAUAGUUUAAGGUUUGGAUUUGAGAUUUAAAGUUCAGAAUUCGAGGUUCAAGUUUAAAGUUCAAAGGUUCAGGGUUAUGGGUUACGAGUUUAGGUUAUGGUUCAAGGGUUUGGGGUUGCAAGCUUGAAAUUUUAUGUUUUGGAUCUAGGGUUUAGGAUUAUAGAUUCAAGGUAAAAAAAUUACCAAAAUUAUGUGUCAAUGACAUGGAAAAAAUUGUUGAAAUGUUGUUAAAUAAUUGGAAAGGGACCAUGAAUAAUGUGAUCAGAAGAGUCCAUAAAAUAAUUUCUCUAUGGAUGAGUGUAUAAUAAUUCAUGUCUUUAAAAUUUGAAAAUGUGACAAAAAAAUUUUUAAUUUUUAGGAUCAUUCUAAUGUAAAUUAUUACCUUAUCUUAAUUAUUGGACUAUAUGUUUGUUUAGUUUCUUAAGCACUUUCAUGGUAUUCUUUUAUAUGUUUAUCCUGGAUCCUUGCAUCAGAAAGAUGGAGGCGCAGGUAAACCAUUGUUAUCAAGAGUAAAGCCCAAGAAAGAUGUAGUUGAUUUGAACAACCAGCACAUCUCUUUACGACCCUAUUUAGCAAACCAAUCCGCUAACCUAUUGGCUUCUCGUCUGAUAACAUUGACUUUCAAAGAAGAAAGUUGCAUGACCAGCUUAUCAAAAACCUGAAGGACUAGCCUUAAUCUCCAUCUUCGAUCUUGACUUUUCUUCUUAAUAUUAGAAGCAAUAGUCUGGGAGUCAGUCUUGAUUGUCACAUUGGUCCAUUUUUUCUUCAUAGCUAAUUCAAUCCAUCCAACCAUAGCUUUAGCCUCGACAACCUCACAUGAAUCCACUUAAUCCUUUUACCAAUCCCAUCCAGAAUCUUCCCACUUAAAUUUCUGCCUAUUUCUCUAAUACCAACACAAGCUAUUAAGGUGUCGAAUGCCCCAUCACAAUUAACUUUAACCCAACCUUGUGGUGGUUUCUCCCAAAUAUCAGCACAAGUAUUUGACUUCCUAGUUCGAUCAGAGUUAUUGUUUGAACAGAGGAUCCAUUGAGCAGAUAAGAAUUCAUUCAUGGAGCAAUUAAUCCUUCGAAUAAUUCUCUCCAAACCAAGUUUCACACCUCCAAUUGUAACCUCACACCUAGCUUUGUAACAACUUUGAGAACCAUCUGUCAAAUGAUUGAGUUUGAUCAUUUAGCCCUUGAAGACCAAAACAAGCCUCAUACUAUAUUCCCCUAACCCAAUUACAACUAAGAAAAAUAUGUUCAAAGUCUCAUCUUCAAUACCACAUAAACAACAAAUUGGGUUCGAAACAUACUUUCUUUUCCACGGAUUAAAACGAGAUGGAAUAGCAUUAUGACACAAUUUCCAUAAGAAAACUUUAAAUUUGUUCGGUACCUGUAAGCUCCAAAUAGCUUUCCAAGUGCUCCUAUCAAUUAAGUGAGAGCUGGAAGGUUGUAAAGAAGACUCAUUUCCAUAGUGCUUUCUCAACUUCUUGUACCCUGACUUCAUCGAAUAUUGAUCAACAGCUGUAAAUGGCCACACCAAUUUAUCUUGCUCAUCUGUUUCACGAAGAGGAACUUUUAAUUUCCCAAUUUCAAUAUCUUCUAACCACAUUGAAAUACUGGGUAAGUCCCAAUUUAGUUCUUCUAAACAAAUGAUCUCAGCAACUCUUGUUGGUAAGGAUCCGUCAAUACUUCUAGGAUGCUUUUGUUUCCUAUCUUUUAACUCCCAGCAACCAUCUAUCUUCCCAAAUGUGGAUGCUUUCGCCAUUUAGCACUUGCCAAAUCAAAGUCUCCUUUUAAAAACGCUUUCCCUUCAAGAAUGCUACUCCACACCCAUGAUGACCUAGCUUCCUUUUUAGCUUCAAGUAAACUAGAAUUCGGGGAAAAAAGUCCUUUUAAAAUCCUAGCCCAAAGAGCAUCAGGAUCCUGGACUAACUGUCAAGAUUGUUUUGCAAGUAGAGGAAGUCCUCCAAGCUUUUCAAUGGAUACGUCUCUCAUUUUCCUUCUGCUGAAUUCAUUUCCACGCAUAAGUUUUUAGGAAAUUCGAAAAGAUAUCGUAUACAUUGAAGCGCAUGCUACUGCUUUAAUAAGAACCUCCCUUCCCCUUCAAGAUAACGUUUGCUGCUUUCAGCCCUUAAGUUUGGUAAGGACCUUUAUAUAUAUAUAUAUAUGGUUAAAGUAAGGACCUUAUCUUUGAUAUGCCUCAAAGUUAAUGUUUUCGAAAGCCCCCACAAAGAAGGGACACCCAAGUAGGCGUCCGAAUUAUUUGCCACCUCUAAGUUAGUCUCUUCUUGAAUCAACCUUUCGUUGUCCCUUUGGGAGUAUUCACACUAAAAACGUUGCUUGAUUUAUCAUAGUUGACCCUUCGUCCAGAAGCUGCACAAUAUUCUUGAAUCAAGUUAAUCAUUCUCCUACAAUUUAACGAACUAGCGUCCAAAAAGAAUAGAAAUCGUUCGUGAAUAACAAAUGUGACACUACUGGAUAAUGACUACUAAGGCUAAUCCCAGAAAUAAAACUAGACUCGACUCUAUUAAUAAUCACUACCCCUAGAACUCCUUUCAAUAUUCACCAUGAUCUUCGAUAUGAUUUAAUACUUAAAAUUACAAGGACUAAUUGACCUAAAUUAUGUCAUUAAUUCAAGACAUUUAGUUUUCAGAAUUAAAAUUAUCUCAAUCUCGUUCGAAAAUUUCCCUUCCCUUAAUAGCUUCCAAAACAUUCUUUUUAAUAAUUUCCCAAUAAUUAUGAUAGAAAAUCCCGUUAAAAUCAUCCACAAAAAAAGAGAUUAAUUUAAUUGUUUUGUAUGCUUAACUUGUACAAUAUAAGUAAAAUCUUAUAAUUUUAUCUCCAAAUUCUCUCAACACAUCUUUCUGACCCUUAUUUAUAAUCUCAUUUGUAUCAACAGGAUAUCCAAUUUAAAAUUACAUAAUCUUUUUUAUAUAAUUCUUUAAAUAUUAAAAGUAUUUUCCUCUAUUAUUUUUUUUGUUGGAGUAUUAAAUAUUAGCCUUAAAACCAUAAGGCAUGAAUUCCAAACAACCCUUAAAAAGAUAUGUAAAUUUUGUUUUUGAAUAUCAUUUUUUCUUUUUUAGAUUUCAAAUUGGAUAGUGAAUUAUCUAUUUAUUUAUUCGAAACUCCUCUUAAAUUAAUGAGAUUGAAGUUUCUUAUUUAGUAUUGAUUGUUCCAUAAAGUAUUCAAAGUUUUCAAAUAGAUUUAUUUUUUCAAGUGUAGUUAAUAACGGCAAUAAAAAUUAAACUUUAUAAGUGAUAAAUUUAUAUUAAAAAUUGUUUGAUAAAUUCAUAAAAUAUAAGUUUGGGUUCAUCUACUUUUACAUUUCUUUUACCUAUUUAAAUUAUUUCUUAAUUUUCAUUUUUUUAAAAAAAUUAUUCUUAAUUUUUUAUACAGGAAAUAUAAUCGACGUGGAAAUGAAAAAGUUAGGAGAGAACAUGGUUAAAGAUUGUGCAGGGCUUCCAUUAGCCAUUGUUGUAUUGGGAGGAAUUUUGGCUACAAAGAAUAAUUCAUUAAACGAAUGGCAAAAGAUAUCUGACAAUUUAAAAUCAUACUUGAAGAGAGGCAAAAAUCAAGGACCAGAGGAUGUGUUAGCAUUAAGUUAUGAUGAUUUGCCUCCCUAUCUAAGACCAUGUUUCCUCUAUCUAAGCCUUUUUCCGGAGGAUUAUAUGAUAGAUGUGGAUAGAUUGAUUCAAUUAUGGGUUGCUGAAGGUAUUGUGUCAUCAAAGCAAGAAGAAAGAGACGGUGGGGAAAUUGCGGAAGAUGUGGCGGAAUCUUAUUUAAUGGAGCUUGUGGAAAGGUGCAUGAUUCAAGUACGAGAAAGAGAUGUGGCAACCUUAAAGGUCAAAACAAUUCAGAUGCAUGAUCUGAUGAGAGAUCUUUGCUUAUCAAAGGCAAAACAAGAAAAUUUUGUCUUCAUUGUCGAUCAAUCAAAUGCAUCUUCAUUAUCUAUGAUUCGGAAGGUCCGUAGGGUUUCUGUGCAUGAGUUUUUUUUUCAUACAAUGCAUUAAAAGUCCAAAUAUUCGGUCACUUUUGUUCUUCAAUGAGUUCUUUCCGGAGGAGGAAUUAGACAAAUCUUUUCCCUUGGAAGUGUUGAAUUCACUGUAUUUGAUUCUUAUGAUUUCGCGAGCUGGUAUGGGACUCCUUAAAAUUCGGGGAAUUUAGAGAUACAUGUUCAACAACUUCCAAUUGCUAAGAGCCCUAAACUAUGAGAGAACAACAGGUGAUCGUUUUGCAGGGUUUAAGUUACCUAGUGAUAUAGGUAAUCUCAUCCAUUUAAGAUUCUUGAGUCUAAAGGAUCUUGAGUUCUUAUGGCCAAAGUUGCCAUCAUCUCUAGGAAACUUAAGGUGCUUGCAAACCUUGGAUUUAAGAGUUGAUCGUGACAAAAUUCAUGUACCUAAUGUGAUAUGGAGGAUGGAGCAACUAAGACAUUUAUAUCUCCCUUCGAGAUGUGAAAGCAGUACUAAGUUGAAGUUGGGUACUUUGAGAAAACUCCUAACACUUGUGAACUUCAACACCAAGAAUUGUUAUCUGAAGGAUCUUAUCAACAUGACAAAUCUUAGAGAGUUGGGGAUAAAUUUGCCCUUCAAUAUUGAAAAUUUCAAUGAGGAGUUGGGCGAGAAUCCACCCAUAAUCGGAAGUAAAUAUCUUCAUUCCUUGUCUAUUAUUACCUCUGGGUACGAAUCAAUAGAUCCAAGACAUUUGGCCCAUCUCCUUUCAAAUUGUACAAGUAUUUGCAAGUUGAGUAUAGCAGCAGAGAUAAGUAAGUUACCAGAGUAUCACUACUUCUCUUCACAUCUCACUUACNNNNNNNNNNNNNNNNNNNNNNNNNNNNNNNNNNNNNNNNNNNNNNNNNNNNNNNNNNNNNNNNNNNNNNNNNNNNNNNNNNNNNNNNNNNNNNNNNNNNNNNNNNNNNNNNNNNNNNNNNNNNNNNNNNNNNNNNNNNNNNNNNNNNNNNNNNNNNNNNNNNNNNNNNNNNNNNNNNNNNNNNNNNNNNNNNNNNNNNNNNNNCUCUUCAGCGAUUGGAUAUCAGGCAUUGCCCAAGCUUGAAGAUGCUUCCAGAGGGAUUGAGCUCCAUUACAACCCUCAAAGAACUGAAGAUUGAAUCAAUGCCAAAGGCAUUCAAAGAAAGAUUGGAGAAAGGAGGAGAAGAUUUCUACAAAGUCGAACAUGUUCCUUCUAUCAUAUUCCAAAACAUCUGGUAGAUUGACUGAUAAUUGAGAGGUAAUUUCAUAACCUCUAGUUUAGGAAAUGAUUCCUACUUUCUUUGCUUCUUAUAUAUCUUUCGUUUUUGACAUUGUCUCACAUUCUCACUCCAUUUGUCAACACACCAAUGAAUAAUUACAUUUAUUAAAAGUUAAAGGAAGUCGGACAUUGAUCUUUUUAGUUUUGCUUUUCAGGUAAAGACGCCAUUUUUUCACCAGCUACUGCUAUUCACGGGAUCAAAUCUAGAUUUAAAACUCCUAUUAUAAGUGGCGUGUGAAAGUGUGUUAUAUUGUGAGAUUUGGAAUUAUCUUCUCGCUUGUUGACAUCAGACUGGUUGAAUGUUUGUUAUUUUCUUCAAAUUACAAUAAAAAGGUUGCAAGAUAAGGUACGGGAAGAAAGGGAGGUGUCUGGAUUAGCAAGGUACCAAACCCACAUAGCUUUGGUUUACGAUCACCAUUCCUAUCUUUAUUUGUUAGCUUUGCUUUCUCUUUUUAUUUUUUUCUUUUUUUAUCUGUACUUAAUGUAAUAUUAGAAGAGAAGGCAGGACCAUGCUUUUCUAGUUCCAUUGUAAAAUUCAUCACUUCGUUGUCAAUGUUCAUUUCUACUCUUCAGUUUUACUUAAAUAUAAUUGUUUGAUAUAUAUAUAUAUUUAUAUAUAUAUAUAUAUUUGAAUAUGGAUACACGAUAAGAGAAUAUAAUAUUUUUAAUAUUUUCUGUCAUCCUUAACUCAAUAAUCUUUGUUAAGAUAUUAUACCAGGUUCAAUGGUUGCACUUCAUCCCACACUUUCAAAGCAAAAAAUAGGAAAAAUUAAAUAUUACCAACUAAUAACACUUCCAAAUUACAUUGUCUUACAAAAAAAAAAAAGAUACAAUUUGAAUUUUUUUAUCAACAUUUGAUGGUUUAGCAAGCUAUGCUUUAUAAAAGGCAAAGGAAUCUAAGGGAAAAAAAGAUUCCAAUUCAAGAUUUUGUAUCCCCAUGCUUUGCUUCUUAUAUCUACCAACAAUAUCUUGAUGAUAAUAAACUAAAAAAAAAAAAAAAUUCAAGGGAAUCAAAGAUUUCAAAUCCAACUUAAUCGAUUGAAAAUUUCACAUCCACUUAAUUAUUUCAAAUGAUAUUUAUUCAAUAAGUUUAAAUCAAAAACCACAAGAAUCCCCAUUUAUCUUUUAUUCAAAAUGUAAAUCGGAUUCAAUGAAAAUAUUGAACAUAUAAUGUGUGCACAUGGAAAUGUCCAAAUCUUUAAAUAUAGGGUCGACAUGGGAGAAAUCUCCUAAAGAUUUAUAAAAUUCAAUAUGAUCCUAUUAUUUUCGUUAUAAAACUCAAUAUCUUAUUCGGAUUAGGAUACGAGCGAAUAACAGAUAACUAUUUGUAGUUCAAGGUGUGAUAAAAUCUCAGUAGCUAAGAUAUGAAUGUUGCAAAAUACCAUACAAAAUCACAGCCACAUUUGUUAGUAUGACUAUUUUGGGUAAUCAAAGGAAAAAAAUGUUAGCUGUUGAGCAAACAAGGUGAACAGAUUAGAUAUUCCAAUUACGUUCAAGCACUUGACAAAUCCUUUCUGCAAUGGCUUCAGCACGCAUCCUAGGACCUUCAUCAGCUGCAAAAACCGACCAUUUCUAACAACUAAGCUAACAUCACACAUGAUAAUAUAUGUAUAUAACUUAUAUAGAAGAUGAUUAUGUGGAUUAAAAGCUAUGCUAGUUUGACUCAAUACAUGACCAUGGGACAUGCUCGAUUCAUCAAUAACGAUAUGAAAAUACUUGGAAGAAAAAUUAAAUACAUCAAUAUCUAACAUUUACAUCUGAGUUCGAGUAAAGAAAACAUGUCAUUCAAUCUAAACAUGCAAAAUAUCCAAAACUCUUGAUGAGUGUUAGAUAAAAAUAUGUAGAAUGUACCCAAAAUACCCAUCUCGAACUCAGUAGAGAAAUAUCUAGCACUCAAAAGACACUACCUUCAACCAAGAACAAGCAAGUUUCUUCAAAGGCUUGAUAUACUUUCUUCACAGCCAUAUAUAUGUUCAUAUACCCAUAUUAAGGAUGAUUGUUUUGGCAAAGAGGAUGAAAAGAUAGAAAGAAAACCUUUAAUCCAAUGACAAUAUUUGAUUAUAACAACAUGACACAUAUAAUUGUGAUUAAAAUUGCGGUCACAAAUACGUUUGCAAUCACAUCAUGUUAAUGAAUACUAUUGCAAUCAAUUGCAAUAAAUAUCCACAACAACACGAGCCACAAUCCUAAAACAACAAAGAUAAUACAUUACAGCUGUUAAGGAAUUUUCAAUAACGUAUAUACCUGCAAGAUUUUCAGUGAUGACACAAUAAAAUUCACCACCAGACAACUUCCCAAUCUAAUGAAAUUUUCAAACAUAUCAUGUCAUAAGUUUCAAGAUCAACUGAAACAUGCGGAUACCAAGUAUGAUAAGAAAUUAAAUUAAGGAUUUUCUACUGCAAACCUACCACGAAAACAUAAUUUUUAUUAGGAUCAAAGGCAUAGCCCAUCAUGGCAGCAUUAUUGAGUCCAUUUUCAGAGGAAAAUCCUGAAACAUGUUACAGGCAAAUAUUAAGAAAAACAACGCACAAGCAUAAGUAUAAAAAACCUAGCAUGUAAGAAAUCAAUACUUGAAAGGACUAAAAUCACUGCUAACCUAAGACAUUGAAUCUAGCACCACUAGGAAACAUCCGAAAUGAUACUUGUCUUUCAAUGUUGAGAUACAUAGGUCCAAGUCUGCCAUGUUGCGCCAAACGGGAAUUCAUCAACCUCUUGAGAACCUAAAGGAUGAAAAGUUCCAGUCCAAGUUAUAUAUAUACAGACACACACACAGAUAGACAUGAAGAAAGUGGGUUAAUGGUGUAUUAUUUAAGUAAAGAAAAAGUUGAAAUCUUGAACCUCUAAAUAUUGGGUAACAGCGAGUGUUAAAAGUGCAUAAAGUUCUGCUAUUAUCUACAAGAAACAAUGGAGGAAUCACAUACAUUGUUUAUAUUCACUUUUGUUGCUACACAAGCAAGCUGAGUCCAUAAACAAAGGCAUAUCUUUUUCUCCGUUUUUAAAUGGUUUUCUUGUUUUUCGGCUGCUUUUUAUAUUAAGAGACAGAGAUUGUGAGACCUCGUCAUUCUCAAGGAGAAAGUGGUCAAGCAUGAAGAUGAUGGGAAGACCACGAGUCGAUGGUGGUCGAUCCAUGAGUUGAUUAUGAAUAGUUUCAUGUUAUUAAAUAAAAAUGUUAGCUAAAGUUAGUCGAACGCUGUGUUUUAGGGCCGAGGGUUUAAUGAAACUAUAAGUUUUGAUGUUGAAUAAAAAUGGUGCGUAUUGACUGUUUGUUACAGCUGCUCGAGGAACAGCCCUAUAACAGACUUUGUAGCUGCCAAUUCUCAGCCAUAAUAGAAACUGGCAUGGGAAAUGAGCAGAUAUGCCAUUUUGUGAAGGAAAUCAAUUCUUUCUUCUUCCUCGAUUCUCUUUCUCUUCUCUCUUUUUCUUUCUUCCUCUAUUCUGUUGAAAUUAUGCAUCACUUCACCAGCAUUCAUCAUUGUGGACGUAUCUGAUCUUCAGUCUCUGGUUUACUGCCCAUGUAAAGUUAUGGAAAGGAAUGCAAAUUUAAAAGGUUUUCUUGCUAUAGUCUAUGCAAUUUCAUGUGUGGGUGAAAGGAGAUGAAGAUUAAUAGAGUAAUAUUGAUAUACCAACAAUUCAUUAAUUGAAGUACUAUCAAUAUUAUCAACAAGUAACAGAAUUAAGUGAGUACACUAAUAUAGUCUAGAAAAACAAUUUAAUUAAUAAUACCAUAGGGAUGGCAACGGGGUUAAGUUGCUAUUGCUAUUCAUAUCCCUGCCGCUAGCUUUUGACGACUUCACCAAGUAAACUGCAAUCACAAUUGUUGUUCUUAUUACCUGCAAAAACACAGCCAACAAUCUGAAUCCAUAUCCCCAUUUUAGGAACAAAUGCAUGGUGUACCAUUUGUUUCGAAGCCAAAUCAAUUUUCUUAUUUUUUCUUGAAGUAAAACCUUAUCUGACACUUAUAUUCAACACAUAUUCAUGUAUUGGUAUGAAGAUAUGACACUCUUAUCCUAUACUCGUAUCCGUGCUCAGGUAACAUAAGCUGAACCCGCAAGAUAACUGAUUUAACAUCGCAUUGCUGCUAGCUAUUGAUGAUUCCACCAAGUAAACUGCAAUCACAAGUGUUGUUCUUAUUCCUUGCAAAAACACAGUCAACAAUCUGAAUCCACAUUCCCAUUUUCGGAACAAAACCAUGGCGUACCAUUUGUUUCAAAGCCCAAUCAACUUCCUUUACCAUCUUCCCCUUACAAAAACCAUGAAUCAACUUCUUGUAUGAAUCAAAACUAGGAUUAACCCUCUCGAAAACCAUUCUCCCUAUAAUCUCCUUUGCUUCCAUAAACCUCGCAGCAUCAAGCAAACCGUACAACACCUCUUGAUAAGACCCUGCAUUGGGAUAACACCCUUUCUUUUUCAUAAUUUCCAACAGCUUCACACCUUCAUCAGUCCUACCUUGUUUCCUAAGACCUGAGAUCAAGAUAUUAAAGCUAACAGCAUCAGCAUCGAUUCCUUCCGUUUCCAUCCUCCCCAUCAACUCAAAAGCUUCAUCAACCUUCCCCUUAUCGCACAACCCGUGCAUUAAAGUAGAAUAAGUUCUAACAUUAGGCUUACACCUUUGUUUAGGAAAUUCAUCGAGCAGUUGGAAUGCAAACUCUAAUUUCCCAUUUUCACACAACCCUUUAAUGAGAAUAUUCAGAGUACAAGCUUCGAUUUCAACACCCAAAUUGGGAGCUUUCCCAUAAACCUCGUGAACAACAUCAAAUAGUUUGUUCGAUACGAGUAAGCUCAAUACGAUAUUGAAGGUUUUAACACUAGGCCAAGUCCCAUAUUCUGGCAUGCUAAAAAGGAUCUCGAUUGCCCUUUUGAUUCGACCUCCGACAUGCCCAUACUUUUUAAUCACAUGCUGGAAGAAUUCAUCGGAUAAACGACAGGCUUUUUCACGUUUGAGCUUUUCCAUUAUAUUUUCAAUGGAAUCAAAAUCCUGGGCAUAUGCGAGCUUGUUGAUGAGCAAAGUGAAGAGAGGUUCAGUUGGUUUAUAAUCCUUGCGAGCUGAGUAUUGGGCUAGGACUGAAAUGAGAGAGUUUGGAUCUUUAAGAUUGUCAAAGAUUUUGAGGAUUUCGGUCGGGGAGAGCCAGUCUUUGUGGGUUAGUUUGAAAAGGGGAGGGGAAGUGGUGUGGGUUGGUUGAUGGUAGCUGGAAAGUGAGGAGAAAAACGAAAGGGAUUUAAGAGAUGAGAUUUUAGUGGUCAUUGGAUGUUGAAAAAGUGAGGGAAAAUUUUGGGGGUAAGAGCUUUUGACAGAAGAAAGAAGGGAACGUGAAAUCAUGCGUUUGGCCAUUGGAGAAUGUAGAAACUGGAGAGCUAAAAGCUUUGUGCUAUUCGCACUAUAAACAUAUAUAGGGUAAGGGACAGGCUUAAUACUUGUUUUGUCCCCUGUAAUAUAGUAAAAAAUCUCAUUUUGACCCUUUUCCUUUACUUUGUCUGUUUACUUUCAUUUCGUCCAUUGCCUGCUUACUUUCAUUUCGUCCAUCAUGUUAGUCUAUUGAUCAUUUCCGUAAAUCCCAUGUGUUAGGGUUCCUAUAUUAUAGUAUUCAUCCAUAUACUUUAACCCUCCACGUAGUCGCAAUCAAUUGGCUUAAAUGAUCGAGGAUCACUAUAGUAUAAGGACCAAACGUAAACAUGCACUAAUUUUUUUAUACAGAAAUGGUCAAAGGAUUAAAGUGAUAGAUGAAAUGAAAGUAAAGGGCGCAAAGUGAUUGGAAAAGUAGUAAAAUGUUGGAAAAUAUUAAGAGAUUGUAUGAUGCAAAACUUAAAUAAUUUAUCUACUGAAAUUUUGAGGUGUAUUAUUUCGAAGUAAUGAAUCAUUGUUAUUUACAACUAUAUAUUAUAUCUCUUUGAAAUGUACAAAUANNNNNNNNNNNNNNNNNNNNNNNNNNNNNNNNNNNNNNNNNNNNNNNNNNNNNNNNNNNNNNNNNNNNNNNNNNNNNNNNNNNNNNNNNNNNNNNNNNNNCUUCUUCUUCCCUUCAAGAAUUGGUUGGAUUUGGAGGUGCCUAUUGAAAGCCUGGUUGAAAAGGAAUCGAGUUUGGAAUGCCGAAAUGAUCGGAAGCCAUGCCAAUAUAGCAAUUGGAGAGAAAAGGAUCGAUCCCAUUCCGUAAUCAUAUGCCUUAGCUAGUACCUCAGUGAACUGCCAGAGUCCGGUGUUCUCAGUAAUUGGCCUCACAGCUUGAGCAACCUGAAGGGAACUAAAAUGUCAGAGGGAAUAAGGCAAAAGAUGCAAACUCUAGACAAAUACUAUAUGCUGGUCCUCUAAAUAUAUGAACAAAUUUAGAAAAGAACUUGGGUAUGCCCGUAUUUGAUACUUAUUCUUGAAUUCGAGUAACAUAGUCAACUAGACAUACCAAAAUCAGACCCCAUCCAGUCGGCAGAAAUGCAAGACAGCAGACAAGUAAAUCCUUGGACGACAGUUCACAGAUGACUGAGAGAGUGAUAACAAUGGCGAAAACACUUAGGAAGAGGAAUGCUUUAAAGAACCUAAACAUCAGAUGGUAACGAGCACUGAAGAGUUGCCUUCCAACGUUCACUGCCUGUAUGUCAUGUAGAGAUCAAGUUAUCCGUGCAGAAAAUUCAAGGCUACUUCGGAAUUUUCAAAAUAGAACUCAAUAUACUUGAGUAUUAUGAUACUUGAAUGAAUUUUACCUUGACCGUCAGGAAAACUGCAAGAAUCACAACCCAGGAAAGCAUAUAAACAAGGAAAUUUUUGCUCUGUUGGGAGAUGUCAAGAUGAUACACCAAGCCAUACUGAUACAAGAAAAACCGAAUCGAAAGAAGAAUUUCGAACAAUCUAGCACCAUAUCCUGAACGACGAAGGUGAGCUUGUUCAUCAUUCCACCAAGAUUGCCAACUCUUGUUUUGCUGAAUCCCAAUACCACCUUUCUCCUUGAUCCACUUAUUCCAGCCUUUCCAAUCAUCUACAAUCUUGUCCCAAUCGAACCCGGAAGGAUUAAACAAAAAUGGUGCAAAUAACCAAGUCAUGGUCAUGAACCAAACAGAGUACGUGAUUAAUACAUAUGCCAUGCUACUCUGGUAGGACCUCCGGAACAAAUCGUAAACCACUAACAGGAGCAACAGUUCAAAUCCUUUAACAAAGUGGCUUCGUGAAUACAAUCUGUAGUUCUCAGUAAAGCUGGCAUGAAACACCACAACCUUACGUCCGGUAGGUAUAUACUUAGCUCCGCCAUACAUAAUUGUCCGACCAAAAUGAUGGGUUUUUGUCCCAAGGGAAAAAGUGAAGAAAACAGCAGCAAACUGCAGUUGCAUAAGAACAAAAUCUUUAAGGGCCGUAAGAAAUCCCUUCUCAAGUCCGAUCUCCAUUACCAUCGGUAAGCCAGUUAAAAGACCAAGCUGAAUAAACGAUUGAGAAGCAAGAGCAGUUUCCAAUGAUUCAGUGUUUUUCAUUCUAGCCUCAAUGAGGAGUGCCUUUUCUAGUCCACUAAGAACAAGGUAUAGUUGUCCGUAGAGGAACACAUAAAUUCCGAGUACAGAAAUCUGGUUUUUUACAGAUCAUAAGACGGGAAAGGCAAAAAUCAGAAAAGCAUCAUACAGAGAUAAAUAGGAAUCGGAUCAGGUAACCUUGUUUAGUGUGAGAGAAUUACCAGGCUGCUGAAGUAAAAUCCAAUGGUUGUGAAAUAGCAAGAUAGCAUCCUAAAANNNNNNNNNNNNNNNNNNNNNNNNNNNNNNNNNNNNNNNNNNNNNNNNNNNNNNNNNNNNNNNNNNNNNNNNNNNNNNNNNNNNNNNNNNNNNNNNNNNNNNNNNNNNNNNNNNNNNNNNNNNNNNNNNNNNNNNNNNNNNNNNNNNNNNNNNNNNNNNNNNNNNNNNNNNNNNNNNNNNNNNNNNNNNNNNNNNNNNNNNNNNNNNNNNNNNNNNNNNNNNNNNNNNNNNNNNNNNNNNNNNNNNNNNNNNNNNNNNNNNNNNNNNNNNNNNNNNNNNNNNNNNNNNNNNNNNNNNNNNNNNNNNNNNNNNNNNNNNNNNNNNNNNNNNNNNNNNNNNNNNNNNNNNNNNNNNNNNNNNNNNNNNNNNNNNNNNNNNNNNNNNNNNNNNNNNNNNNNNNNNNNNNNNNNNNNNNNNNNNNNNNNNNNNNNNNNNNNNNNNNNNNNNNNNNNNNNNNNNNNNNNNNNNNNNNNNNNNNNNNNNNNNNNNNNNNNNNNNNNNNNNNNNNNNNNNNNNNNNNNNNNNNNNNNNNNNNNNNNNNNNNNNNNNNNNNNNNNNNNNNNNNNNNNNNNNNNNNNNNNNNNNNNNNNNNNNNNNNNNNNNNNNNNNNNNNNNNNNNNNNNNNNNNNNNNNNNNNNNNNNNNNNNNNNNNNNNNNNNNNNAAGGUCCUUACCAAACUUAAGGGCUGAAAGCAGCAAACGUUAUCUUGAAGGGGAAGGGAGGUUCUUAUUAAAGCAGUAGCAUGCGCUUCAAUGUAUACGAUAUCUUUUCGAAUUUCCUAAAAACUUAUGCGUGGAAAUGAAUUCAGCUUUGCAUCAGGAUCCUGAUCCAGAAUAUUGUGCAGCUUCUGGACGAAGGGUCAACUAUGAUAAAAACAAGUAGGACUAACUAGCCCAAAGAGCAUCAGGAUCCUGGACUAACUGUCAAGAUUGUUUUGCAAGUAGAGGAAGUCCUCCAAGCUUUUCAAUGGAUACGUCUCUCAUUUUCCUUCUGCUGAAUUCAUUUCCACGCAUAAGUUUUUAGGAAAUUCGAAAAGAUAUCGUAUACAUUGAAGCGCAUGCUACUGCUUUAAUAAGAACCUCCAUUCCCCUUCAAGAUAACGUUUGCUGCUUUCAGCCCUUAAGUUUGGUAAGGACCUUUAUAUAUAUAUAUAUAUGGUUAAAGUAAGGACCUUAUCUUUGAUAUGCCUCAAAGUUAAUGUUUUCGAAAGCCCCCACAAAGAAGGGACACCCAAGUAGGCGUCCGAAUUAUUUGCCACCUCUAAGGUAGUCUCUUCUUGAAUCAACCUUUCGUUGUCCCUUUGGGAGUAUUCACACUAAAAACGUUGCUUGAUUUAUCAUAGUUGACCCUUCGUCCAGAAGCUGCACAAUAUUCUUGAAUCAAGUUAAUCAUUCUCCUACAAUUUAAUGAACUAGCUUCCAAAAAGAAUAGAAAUCGUUCGUGAAUAACAAAUGUGACACUACUGGAUAAUGACUACNNNNNNNNNNNNNNNNNNNNNNNNNNNNNNNNNNNNNNNNNNNNNNNNNNNNNNNNNNNNNNNNNNNNNNNNNNNNNNNNNNNNNNNNNNNNNNNNNNNNAACUCCUUUCAAUAUAUUCACCAUGAUCUUCGAUAUGAUUUAAUACUUAAAAUUAUAAGGAAUAAUUGACCUAAUUAAAUUAUGUCAUUAAUUCAAGACAUUUAGUUUUCAGAAGUAAAAUUAUCUCAAUCUCGUUCGAAAAUUUCCCUUCCCUAAAAAAAAAACUCUUAAUAGCUUCCAAAACAUCCUUUUUAAUAAUUUCCCAAUAAUUAUGAUAGAAAAUCCCGUUAAAAUCAUCCACGAAAAAAGAGAUUAAUUUAAUUGUUUUGUAUGCUUAACUUGUACAAUAUAAGUAAAAUAUUAUAAUUUUAUCUCCAAAUUCUCUCAACACAUCUUUCUGACCCUUGUUUAUAAUCUCAUUUGUAUCUAGCAGGAUAUCCAAUUUAAAAUUAAAUAAUUUUUUUUAUAAUUCUUUAAAUAUUAAAAAUAUUUUCCUCUAUUAUUAUUUUUUGUUGUUGGAGUAUUAAAUAUUAGCCUUAAAACCAUAAGGCAUGAACUAUUCCAAACAACCCUUAAAAAGAUAUGUAAAUUUUGUUUUUGAAUAUCAUUUUUACUUUUUUAGGUUUCAAAUUGGAUAGUGAAUUAUAUAUUUAUUUAUUCGAAACUCCUCUUAAAUUAAUAAGAGUGAAGUUUCUUAUUUAGUAUUGAUUGUUCCAUAAAAUAUUCAAAGUUUUCAAAGUUUUCAAAUAGAUUUAUUUUUUUAAGUGUAGUUAAUAACCUCAAUAAAAAUUAAACUUUAUAAGUGAUGAAUUUAUAUUAAAAAUUGUUUGAUAAAUUCAUAAAAUAUAAGUUUGGGUUCAUCUACUUUUACAUUUCUUUUACCUAUUUAAAUUAUUUCUUAAUUUUUCUUAUUUUUUAAAAAAUUAUUCUUAAUUUUUUAUACAGGAAAAAUAAUCGACGAGGAAAUGAAAAAGUUAGGAGAGAACAUGGUUCAACAUUGUGCAGGGCUUCCAUUAGCCAUUGUUGUAUUGGGAGGAAUUUUAGCUACAAAGAAUAAUUCAUUAAACGAAUGGCGAAAGAUAUCUGACAAUGUAAAAUCCUACUUGAAGAAGGGCAAAAAUCAAAGACUAGAGGAUGUGUUAGCAUUAAGUUAUGAUGAUUUGCCUCCCUAUCUAAGACCAUGUUUCCUCUAUCUAAGCCAUUUUCCGGAGGAUUAUAUGAUAGAUGUGGAUAGAUUGAUUCAAUUAUGGGUUGCUGAAGGUAUUGUGUCAUCAAAGCAAGAAGAAAGAGAUGGUGGGGAAAUUGUGGAAGAUGUGGCGGAAUCUUAUUUAAUGGAGCUUGUGGAAAGGUGCAUGAUUCAAGUACGAGAAAGAGAUGUGGCAACCUUAAAGGUCAAAACAAUUCAGAUGCAUGAUCUGAUGAGAGAUCUUUGCUUAUCAAAAGCAAAACAAGAAAAUCUUGUCUUCAUUGUUGAUCGACCGAAUGCAUCUUCGUUAUCUAUGAUUCGGAAGGUUCAUAGGGUUUCUGUGCAUGAGUUUUUUUUCAUACAAUGCAUUAAAAGUCCAAAUAUUUAGUCACUUUUGUUCUUCAAUGAGUUCUUUCCGAAGGAGGCAAUUGAAAAAUCUUUGCCCUUGAAAGUGUUGAAUUACGUUGAAGAACAUGAAGAUGAUGAUUGUAAUCCACUAUUUUGGAUUCUUAUAACUUUGGCACGUUCUACAGGACGUCAUAAAAUUCACGAAAUUUGUAGAUACAUGUUCAACAACUUCAAAUUGCUAAGAGUCCUAAACUAUGAGAUAAGAACAAGAAGAACACGUGAUCUUUUUGGAGGGUGGAAGUUACCCAGUGAUAUAGGUAAUCUCGUCCAUUUAAGAUUCUUGAGUCUAAGGAAUUUUGAGUUCCAACGGUCAAAGUUGCCAUCAUCUCUAGGCAACUUAAGGUGCUUGCAAACCUUGGAUUUAAGAGUUGAUGACAGAAUUCAUGUACCUAAUGUGAAAUGGAGGAUGGAGCAACUAAGACAUUUAUAUCUCCCUUUGAGAUGUAAAAGCAGAACUAAGUUGAAGUUGGGUACUUUGACAAAACUCCUAACACUUGUGAACUUCAAGACCAAGAAUUGUUAUCUGAAGGAUCUUAUCAACAUGACAAAUCUUAGAGAGUUGGGGAUAAAUUUGCCCUUCAAUAUUGAAAAUUUCAAUGAGAAGGAGUUGGGCGAGAAUCCACCCAUAAUCGGAAGUAAAUAUCUUCAUUCCUUGUCUAUUACCUAUGAAGAAGGACUGAAAAUAUUUACUUUAUUUUCUAUUGAUGUCAUUAUGAAAUCCUGGUCAAAAAUAGAUCCAAGACAUUUGGCCCACCUCCUUUCAAAUUGUACUAGUAUUUGCAAGUUGAGUAUAACAAGAGUGAUAAGUGAGUUACCAGAGUAUCACUACUUCUCUUCCCAUCUCGCUUACAUACGGUUGAUAUGUUGUAAGUUUGAGGAAGAUCCAAUGCCAACACUAGAGAAGCUGCCUAACUUAAGGAUUCUUGAACUCAAAUAUACUUCAGAAGGAAAGGAAAUGUUUUGCUCUGCUCAGGGUUUUCCUAAACUUGAGUCUCUAAUCCUUGCGGAGCUCUACAAAUUGGAGGAGUGGAAGGUGGAUGAAGGAGCCAUGCCUUCUCUUCAGCGAUUGGAGAUUGAGGAAUGUGGAAACUUGAAGAUGCUUCCAGAGGGAUUGAGGUUCAUUACAACCCUCAAAGAACUGAAGCUUGAAUUAAUGCCAAAGGCAUUCAAAGAUAGAUUAGAGGAAGGAGGAGAAGAUUUCUGCAAAGUCAAACAUGUUCCUUCUGUCAUAUUCCAAAAAUGUGGCUAAUAGAUUGAAUGAUAAUUGAGAGGUAAUUUCAUAACCUCUGGUUUAGGAAAUGAUUCCUACUUUCUUUGCUUCUUAUAUAUCUUUUGUUUUUGACAAUGUCUCACAUUCUCACUCACUUUGUCAACACACCAAUGAAUAAUUACAUUUAUUGAAAGUCAAAGGAAGUGAGACAUUGAUAUUUUUAGUUUUUCUUUUCAGGUAAAGACGCCAUUUUUUCACCUGCUACUGCUAUUCACGGGAUCAAAUCUAGAUUUAAAACUCCUAUUAUAAGUGGCAUGUGAAAGUGUGUUAUAUGGUGAGAUUUGGAAUUAUGUUCUCUCUUGUAUAUAUCUGUGGUUGUUGACUGUUUGUUGUUUUCUUCAAAUUACAAUAAAACGGUUGCAAGAUAUGGUAUUGGAAGAAUGGGAGGUGUCUGGAUUAGCAAGGUACCAAACUCCUCCUCCAUUUCAAUUUCCUUCAAUCUAAUUUAAUUACACGUUCAUUUUUGUCUUUUAAAACAUAAAAUUGCAGAUAAGGAGACGUCACUGACCUUUGUUCCCACAUAGCUUUGGUUUGCGCCUUUGCGGUGACCAUUCCUAUAUUUAUUUGUUAGCUUUGCUUUCUCUGCUUGAGUCUUUCUCUUUUUUCUUUUUUCUUUUUUUUAUAUGCACUUAAUGUAAUAUUAGAAGCCAAGGCAGGACCAUGCUUUUCUAUUGUAAAAUUCAUCACUUUGUUGUCUAUGUUCAUUUCUACUUUUCAUUUGAUAUAUAUUUGAAUAUGGAGAAUAUAAUCUUUUUAAUAUAUACAUAUUUUAGAAAAAAAAUGAAUAUAUGUAUGUUUGACAUAUUUCCCGUUUCAACAUAUUUCCUUAUUUUAUGCAAGUCAAUUGGCAUUUAACCAAAUAAAUUUAAUUGCUUCAGUUUGAGUUAAAAUUAAAAUUUCAAAAUUAAAAAAAAAAUACAAAAAAUAAAGUUGACAAAUUCAAAAAUAUACAUAUUAAAAUUGAUCAAAUUAAAAGUGCACUGGCUAACCUUAAUUUUUUUGUUAAUCUUUCUUUUCGAUUAAUUAAAUGUCCAUGACGUAUAUUAUAUAUCUUAAUAUAUAAAUAUUUUUAAAAAAAUUAAAUAUAUGUAGGUUGGACACAUAUUCAAGUUUGAUAUUCGUCUUAAAUUCGUGCAAUACGGUUAAAUAUUGGUGAAUUAGUAGUUGAUGAAGUAUUAUAUACAUUCUUGGAAUAUUGCUCUAUUCAACGAAUUUAUUUCAGCUCCAUAUGCUUAAAACGCCUCCCAUUUCUAACAUAUUUCCUCAUUUUGGGUAACUCGAUUGGUAUACAAUGUAGUCUUUUUCAUUGUUUAGUAUCCUAAUCCUUAACUCAAUAAUCUUUGUUACAAUAGGGUUUAAUGAUUGCAAUUCAUCUCGAUGCUUCCGAAGCAAAAAAAAAAAAAAUCAAAUUUUACCGGUUAAUUACAUGUCAACACAUAUAAUCCACGAUAUGUUUAUCUGAAAGAUUAAAUAAGAUUAACUAAAUCACAAAGAAAAUAAACGAGUAAACAUAAUCUAGAAAUUCCAAAUUACAUUAUCUAACAAAAAUUCAAUAAGAAAUAAAUGGUUGCAUUUCAUUCUUUAGGGAUUUGCUCUUAUAUCUUCCAACAAUAGCUUGAUGAUAAUAAGCUGAAAAAGAAAAGGAGUCCAAGGGAAUUGAAGAUUCUUAAUUCAGCUAGCUUAAUUGAUUGAAUACUUCAAAUACACUUAAUUAAUACCAAUUAUAUUUAUCAAUAAAUCUAAAAUUUGAAUCCCUCAUUUGCAACCUAUUUUGUAAAAACUGCCAAAUGAAAUCAAAUUAUCUUGUUUCAAUUCUCUUCAAAUUUUAGUUUACAACUUCUAUUUUUGGGUUUCCAUUUGUUUCUACUUUUAAAGCAAACAUUGAUUCAAGAAAUAUUUAUUUCAUUUGGCUUAUUUUCUUUUCUAUUUUUAUGCUAUUCAGAUUCGAUGAAAUAUUGAACAUAAUAUGUGUGCAAGUUAGAUGUCCGAGUCUUGAAAUGUAAGAUCGAAACGGGAGAAAUAUCCUAAAACCCGAUGCUUAAAGAUUUAUAAAAUUUAGUAUAAUCAUGUUGUUUUCAUUAUUAUAAAACUCAAUGUUAAAAUGUCUAUGAUUUGAAUUAUGAUACAAGAGAAAAAUAGCUAACUAUUUUAAGUUCAAGGUGUGAGAAAACCUCAAUAUCUAAGAUAUGAAUGUUGUAAAGUACCACUCAAUCACAGCCACAUUUGUUAGUAUGACUACUUUGGAUGAAAAGUUCUAUUCCAAGUUAUAUAUACACACAGAAAUACACAUGAAGUGGAUUAAUGGUGUAUUAUUAAGUAAAGGAAAACGGUUCUAACUAAAAGAAAGAGUUGAAAUCUUGAACCUCCAAAUAUUGGGUAACCGCUGGUGUUAAAAAGUGCAUAAAGGUCCGCGCUUAUCUACAAGAAAUAAUGGAGGAAUCGCAUACGCUGUUUAUAUUCAUUUUUUUUGCUCCACAAGCAAUCCGAAACCAUAAACAAAGGAGUACUUUUUUGCCUUUUUUAAAUGGUUUUCUUGUUUCUUUUCCGCUUUUCAAAUUCUUCAUUCAAUUCAAGUUCAAGAAACCAUACUAAAUAUAUAUAUAUGUUUAUAUUCGCUUUUCUUGCUACACAAGCAAGCCAAAACCAUAAACAAAGGCAUGCAUUUUAUUUCCUUUUUUAAUGGUUUUCUUGAUUCUUUGUUGUUUUUAAAAUUCUUCAUUCAAUUCAAGUUCAAGAAACCAUACUAAAAUAUAUAUUUAUAUUCGCUUUUUUUGCUACACAAGCAAGCUGAAACCAUAAACAAAGGCAUACAUUUUUUCCUUUUUUAAAUGCAUUUUUUUUUUUGUUUCUUUGUUGUUUUUUAGAUUCUUCAUUCAAUUCAAGUUCAAGAAAUCAUACUAAUUAUAUAUGUUUAUAUUCACUUUUCUUGCUACAUAAGCAAGCCGAAACUAUAAACAAAGGCAUACCUUUUUUUCCCCUUUUUAUCUUGCUGCUUUUUAGAUUUUUCAUUCAAUUCAAGUUUAAGAAAUCAUACUAUAUAUAUACCAUACUAUAUAUAUAUAUAUGUUUAUAUUCACUUUUCUUGCUACACAAGUCAACUGAAACCAUAAACAAAGGCAUAACUUUUUCGCUUUUUUUAAAAUGAUUUUUUUUCUUUGCUACUUUUUUAAAUUUUUAUUCAAUUUAAGUUUAAAAAACCCUACUAAAUAUAUAUAUAUAUAUAUAUAUAUUAAGAGAGAGACAUCAUCAUCCUCAAGGAGUAAGUGGUUAAGCAUGAACUUGAUGGGAAGGCCACAAGUCGGUGGUGGUCAAAUCAUGAGUUGAUUAUGAUUAGUUUCAUGUUAUGGAAAAAAGAUGCUAGUUAAAAUUAGUUACUUGACCGUUGCAUUUUGAGGUUGAGAGUUUAAUGAAACGAUACGCUUUGAUGUUUAAUGAAAACGGUGCGUAUUGAAAGUUUGAUACAACUAAUCGAAUAACAAGCCUGUAACAACUUUGUAACUACCAAUUCCUCGCUUUAAAAAAAUAUUCCAAAUAUGUUUUCUCACCUUAUCAUUUUUGUUAUUUUUCAAGCCCCCUUACCAUUUUAUAUUUUUAAUGGGUAUAUUAUAAAAAUAGUCACCUAGGUAUUGCUUUCAUUCUAUUUUAUUCACUAAGUUAUUAAUUUUUUCGAUUUAAUUACUAAAUUUUUUUAAAUUAAAUAUUUUGAUCACUCUCCCAUUAGUUAUCAUUAGAUAAGUGAUAGGAAGUUAAUGUGGGCUUUUUUUAUUAGUCUAAUAACAAAUUUAGUCAUCUAAUGUUUACACAUUCUAUUAAAUUGAUUUUAAAUAUAAAAUGUUCAAUAGCUUUAAACCUAAAUGUUUACCAAAUCUAUUGUUAUAGUUCAAAUCCUAAAAAUUUCAAUAAAUUUAAUCCUCAAAAUUUGUAAAUUUAAUUUUAAUUCUAACUCAUGGAUGAAUUAAGCAAAUUAAAUCAAAUCAAAUCAAUCGAACAAAGAAUUUAAUUAAAAAGAAAUUCUUCACAUGCAUCAAGGAGGGACUUCCUCUGGUGGUAUCAAGGGGAUUGAUAGAAACAGCUCAGGCUCGAACAAGAACUUCACUGGGCUUAAGAUCAGGAACAGACACAUCGGAUCAAAGCUGCAACACCUCAGGUCCACCGAACCGAGGCAGCAACACCGCCCUGCAACUGUUGGCAUAGCACCGAAUUGAACCCACUUUCAAUGAUAUGAUAACUCCAUAAAGGGUUUGGGUUUUAAGCUUUGAAAGUUCCCCUUUUUCUUCUCAAAUUUUCUGAACUUCAGCUCCUUCCUUUUGUUAAAUGAAGGAAAAGCAAAGGAGAGACACCGAAGUGUUUUAAUCCACAUAGAAAAUAGUGAUUAUGUGACUUGUGAGUGUUGGCCUGGGGUCUUGGAAGAAGAAGAUGAAUAUUGCAUAAUCGAUUUUUAAUUGCUUACUACAUUCAUAAUUAAAUAAAUAAAAAUUUCUAACCUUAUCAAUUAAAUCAAGUUAGAAUGUUCAACUUGAUUUUUGUUUGUUAUAAGGAUCAUAUAUUAUAAAACUUAAUUUUAUUUUAAUAAUUAUAUAAUAUUAUUUUUAAUUAUAUCAUCUGAUACCAUCUUGAGGGCUAAAUUUAGAAUUAAAAUUAAAUUGACAAAUUUUAGAAAUUUUGAGCUUAAAUUUAUUUUUAUUUUUAGGAAUUUGAAAUAAAAUGAGAAAUUUUGUAAAUAUUGAGGAUUAAAUUUGUUGGAAAUUUUAUAUUUAGAAUCAAAUGGUAGAAUGUCUAAACAUUAGGGGGCUAAAUUUAUUAUUAGACCAAUAAAAACAAGUUCAUAUCAAUUUCCCGUCACUCAUCUAAUUGCAACUAAUGAGGAAGUGAUGAAAAUAUUUAACUUCUAAAAAUUUAAUGACUAAAUAAAAAAAUUAACAUUUAAGUGAUCAAAAUAGAAUGAAAUCAAUAAUUUGAUGAGCAUUUUUGUACUGUACCCUAUCUUAAUCCAUCUCACAACCAAAUUUCUCCGUCUUUGCCUAAGUUCUGUGUCUUUGUCAAAUUUUAAUAGAAUUAACAUUUUUAUUUAAAAAAUAUCUUUAAUCGUUUAAUAUAUUUUUAAUAAGUAAAUGUUAAUUCCGUUAAGGGUCAGUUUGUUUACACGUAAAAAGUUAAAAAUAAAAAUAUUGAGUUCUAUAAUAUGAGUCUAUUGAACCGAUUCAAUCAUAAAUUUUAUUAUUAUUGGUUUAUAUAAUGGUUUGAUUUUGAAAAUAUUUGGUUUAACAUUUAGUCAUCCCUUUGAUCAAUUUUAAAUUUUAGAAAUAAUUUUGUUUUUUGUUUACAUUUAAAUGUACAGUUUCUAAUGCAUAUGUGUUACAUUUGAUUUCAAGCCAUUAAUCCUUAAUUACUUUUUAAAAUAAUAGUUUCUUUUAGUUUUUAAAUAAUGUAUAAAUUUAUAAUUAUAUAAGAAAGUAAACUAUAAUAUUAAAUUUUUAAAAAUUAAGUAAAACAACAUGCAAUAAUUUUCAUAAUAAUUAAUGAUAAAUAAGAAAAAUAUUCACAAUUAUAAAACAAACCGUUUAAGAGUAUAUAAACUACUUAUACAAAAUUCUUUUAAAUCAAAGAUGAAAUUAUAUAUAUAUAAAUAACAAAUGAAAUUAUAUAUACAAAUUUAUAAGUGAAAAAUAUACAUAAUUAUAUUCAUAAAAAGUACAUAUGACAAUAUACAAACAAGGCUAUAAAGUAAUUCAUAGGAACAUGGCUUUCUUGUUAGUAUUCUCAUUCUUUUUUUAACAUACCUUUCUUGCUUGUGUUCUCAUUCUAUUAUGAAUAUACCUUUCUUGUUCGUAUUCUCGUUCUAUUGAUGAUUAAUGUUGCUUUAUAAUUGUUUAUAAAUUUAAUAGAACUAUAUAUUACUACUAAAAGUAUAAAAGGGCAAUGAUUUGCAAUUGUUUUUAUAAUUAAGUACUGGUUCUUGCAAUUGUUUUCCCAGCAAGAUUGCGGCACUCACAUCUUGAAAUCCAAAUUCAAGAUUUUAAAGAAUUUUCUGAGCUCGAUAGCUAUUAUGGCUUGGUCUGCUGUGACAUCUGCAGUGACAACAAUUGGCAACCUGCUAACUCAGGAAGCCAUAUACCUAUGGGGCGUGGAGGAGCAAGUUGAUCGUCUGCAAACAGAGCUCAAAUGGAUGCAAAGCUCCUUAAUGGUGGCAGAGACAAAACAAUCAACGGAUGAGAGGAUUCGUCUUUGGGUUGCUGAAAUCAGAGAGCUUGCUUAUGAUGCUGAGGAUAUUGUUGAGGAAUUUGCUCUCAAGAUUGGAUCCAAAAACAAAGGUGGCCUUCCGAGUUGUAUUAAAAGAUCAGCCUGCUGUUUGAAAGAGGGAUGGGUGCUCCAUGAAACCAGGUCAAAGAUCGAGAAAAUCAUAGAAAGAGUCAGCGACUUGGUCCGACGACUACAGGCCUACGGCGUAAAGGAAUUAAAUCCCAGAGGAGAAGGAUCAAGUUUUUCAACUGAAAUACGAGAAUCAAGGCGGCCUUAUCCACAUAUUAUGGAUGAUAAUAUUGUUGGACUAGUUGAUGAUACCAAGGGAUUGGUCGAAGUUCUUACGAAGGAAAGUGGAUGCAAGGUUGUUACAAUAUGGGGCAUGGGUGGUCUGGGAAAGACCACUCUCGCCAAGAAAAUAUAUCACCAUGGUGAGGUUAUUGAUUAUUUCGAUCACUUGGCUUUUGUAUAUGUUUCUCAACCAUGCCGGAAAAGAAAUGUUUGGGAAGACAUUUUAUCUGGUUUCAAAACUUUAGAUAAAGAGGACAGGAAGAUAACAGAUGCAGAAUUAGCAGGGAAGUUGAGUAAAACUUUGAAGGAUAAAAAGUGUCUGGUGAUACUUGAUGAUGUUUGGACCAGUGAAGCUUGGGAUAGUCUAAAACCUGCCUUUCCAGUUGAUAGCAAAAGCAAGAUAUUGCUCACCUCUAGAAACAGGGGGAUAGUUUCAUAUGCUGACAUAAAAGGUAAAAUUUUCUUAAUUAGGUAAAAUUGAAUACUCUUAUUCCUUUGAUGGAAAAUAACCAUGUAUAUUAUUUCAGAGUUGAAGUGCCUAAACGAUGAAGAAAGUUGGGAAUUGUUUCAAAAGAUUGUAUUUCCUCAAACAGGUAAAUAUACAUAUAGCAAAAUUCUUGUUAUACGCUAAAUUUAUUUUUCAUUUUUAAUUUUUUUGACAAUAAUUAAAUUUAAAAAUAUAUAAAAUCUAUUUUAUUUAAAAAUUUCAAAACCUUAAUAUGAAAUAAAUAAAAGAAAUCAAGGCUUUGUAGUUUAUCAGCUAAUGGUACACGCAAGUAAAUAUAAUUAAUAGGUAAAUUCAUUAUCUUUUAUAUUAUAUAUUUUUAAUAACUUUGCUAUUAGUUACCGAGAAUAAAUUAUAUUAGGAUCAUCUUAAAAAAAUAUAAAUUUUAGGCACCAAUAAAAUAAUGUUACAUCGUUAAAUUUUUAAGAUAACAAAGAAUUAUUAUACACUCAUUUAUAUUUAAUAUUUUCUCCAACUUAAUUUAACUUUAAUUAAAUUAUUUAAAAUAAUUAAUUUUUUAAAUUAUAGACAAACAUCUUUUCUUCUUUUACAAAAUUUAAUCAUUUUUUUAUAAGUUAAUAUUUUUUUUAUUUUUGUGCAACCAUUUUUUAAAAAAAUAGUAAUUUUUGUGCAAUAUUUUUCAUGUCAUUGACACAUAAUUUUGAUAAUUAUUUUAUCCUGAACCCAAAACCCCGAACCUUGAACUCGAACCCUAAACCCUGAACCUAAACCUUGAGCCCUGAAUCUCAUAAUUUAAGGUUUGGAUUCGAGAUUUAAAGCUCAGAAUUCGAAGUUCAAGUUUAAAGUUUAAGGGUUCAGGUGGGUUACGAGUUUAGGAUUCAUGGUUCAAGGGUUUGGGGUUGCAAGUUUGGAGUUUUAUGUUUUGGAUCUAGGUUUAGAAUUAUAGAUUUAGGGUUCAGGUAAAAAAUUUACCAAAAUUAUGUGUCAAUGACAUGGAAAAAAUUGUUGAAAUGUUAUUAAAUAAUUGGAAAGGGACCAUGAAUAAUGUGGUCAGAAGAGUCCAUAAAAUAAUUUCUCUAUGGAUGAGUGUAUAAUAAUUUAUGUCUUUAAAAUUUGAUGAUGUGACAAAAAAAAUUUAAUUUUUAGGAUCUUCCUAAUGUAAGUUAUUACCUUAUCUUAAUUAUUGGACUAUAUGCUUGUUUAGUUUCUUAAGCACUUUCAUGGUAUUCUUUUAUACGUUUAUCCUGGAUCCUUGCAUCAGAAAGAUUGAGGUGCAGGUAAACCAUUCUUAUCAAGAGUAAAGCCUAAGAAAGAUGUAGUUGAUUCGAACAACUAGCACAUCUCUUUAUGACCCUAUUUAGCAAACCAAUCCACUAACCUAUUGGCUUCUCGUCUGAUAACAUUGACUUUCAAAGAAGAAAGUUGCAUGACCAGCAUAUCAAAAACCUAAAGGACUAGCCUUAAUCUCCAUCUUCGAUCUUGACUUUUCUUCUUAAUGUUAGAAGCAAUAGUCUGGGAGUUAGUCUUGAUUGUCACAUUGGUCCAUUUGUUCUUCAUAGUUAAUUCAAUCCAUCCAACCAUAGCUUUAGCCUCGACAACCUUACAUGAAUCCACUUAAUCCUUUUACCAAUCCCAUCCAGAAUCUUCCCACUUAAAUUUCUGCCUAUUUCUCUAAUACCGGCACAAGCUAUUAAGGUGUCAAAUGCCCCAUCACAAUUAACUUUAACCCAACCUUCUGGUGAUUUCUCCCAAAUAUCAGCACAAGUAUUUGACUUCCUAGUUCGAUCAGAGUUAUUGUUUGAACAGAGGAUCCAUUGAGCAGAUAAGAAUUCAUUCAUGGAGCAAUUAAUCCUUCGAAUAAUUCUCUCCAAACCAAGUUUCACACCUCCGAUUGUAACCUCACACCUAGCUUUCCAGAUGUGGUAACAAGUGAAAACAAUUCUAACUUGAAAAUCCUCCCUCAUACAAGGCAUUUGUAACAACUUAGAGAACCAUCUGUCAAAUGAUUGAGUUUGAUCAUUUAGCCCUUAAAGACCAAAACAAGCAUCAUACUAUAUUCCCCUAACCCUAUUACAACUAAGAAUAAUAUGUUCAAAGUCUCAUCUUCAAUACCACAUAAACAACAAAUUGUGUUCGAAAAACAUUUUCUUUUCCUCGGAUUAAAACGAGAUGGAAUAGCAUUAUGACACAAUUUCCAUAAGAAAAUUUUAAUUUUUUUCAGUACCUGUAAGCUCCAAAUAGCUUUCUGAGUGCUCCUAUCAAUUAAGUGAGAGCUGGAAGAUUGUAAAGAAGACUCAUUUCCAUAGUGCUUUCUCAUCUCCUUAUACCCUGACUUCAUCAAAUAUUGACCAACAGCUGUAAACGGCCACACCAAUUUAUCUUGUUCAUCUGUUUCAUGAACGGGAACUGUUGGAAAUUGCCAAUCAUUCUGCUGUUACAUUUUUUGGUUGAAGUGCAUGCAGAAAAAAAAUGUUAGAAAUUUGCCAACCAUGCUGCUGUUACAUUUUUUGGUUGAAGUGCAUGCAGCUUGAUGACAUGUUGCAUGCACUUCAACCAAAAAAAUGUAACAGCAACAUGGUUGGCCAAUUUCCAACACUCCUCCUUGGACUCUAUGCUGCAAAUACCAGUCAUUCAUUAAGUUUUUGAACUUGGCAGUCCUUAGAUGCUUUGUUUCAAGCUAACUCUUCUCAAGCAAUUCAUUUUCAACAUUGGCUUCAUUCUCAACCAAAUCUGACUUACACACUUGACUAUACCACUCUUUUGUGCCAAAGAUUUGUCCAUCAAAUGGAGUAUUCUCCUCUUUCACAGCCUUGGUUGACAACUUGCCUUUAAACUCAUCUUUUCUUUCUUGCCUUGUCCCUUUACUCAUUACAAUCCUGUUUCUUCUUGCACAAACAGUUCAUGAGUAUAGUUUGCUUGCCUUCAGUCUGCCAUUUUGGCUUGCACCUACUCGAGCUUGCAUUUAAACUGUUUGCCACUUUGGCUUGCAAUUCGAUAAGCUCACACUUUGACAAGCUCACACUUUGCUUACUGUCUUCAACAGGCUCGCAACUUUACAACUCGCAUUGAGCUUCCACAUGUUGCUGAGCUCACACCCAAAGUUAAUGAUUUCGAAAGCCCCCACAAAGAAGGGACACCCAAGUAGACGUCCGCAUUAUUUACCACCUCUAUGUUAGUCUCUUCUUGAAUCAACCUUUCGUUGUCCCUUCGGGAGUAUUCACACUAAAAACGUUGCUUGAUUUAUCAUAAUUGACCCUUCGUCUAGAAGUUGCACAAUAUUCUUGAAUCAAGUUAAUCAUUCUCCUACAAUUUAACGAACUCACUUCCAAAAAGAAUAGAAAUCGUUCGUGAAUAACAAAUGUGACACUACUGGAUAAUAACUACUAAGGCUAAUCCAAGAAAUAAAACUAGACUCGACUCUAUUAAUAAUCACCACCCCUAGAACUCCUUUCAAUAUAUUCACCAUGAUCUUCGAUAUGAUUUAAUACUUAAAAUUACACAGACUAAUUGACCUAAAUUAUGUCAUUAAUUCAAAACAUUUAGUUUUCAGAAUUAAAAUUAUCUCAAUCUCAUUUGAAAAUUUCCCUUCCCUAAAAAAAAAAACUCUUAAUAGCUUCCAAAACAUCCUUUUUAAUAAUUUCCCAAUAAUUAUGAUAAAAAUUCUGCUAAAAUAUUCGCAAAAAAAAGAUAUUAAUUUAAUUGUUUUGUAUGCUUAACUUGUACAAUAUAAGUAAAAUCUUAUAAUUUUAUCUCCAAAUUCUCUUAACACAUCUUUCUGACCCUUAUUUAUAAUCUCAUUUGUAUCUAAGAGGAUAUUCAAUUUAAAAUUAAAUAAUCUUUCUUAUAUAAUUCUUUAAACAUUAAAAGUAUUUUCCUCUAUUUUUUUUUUUUUGGUUGGAGUAUUAAAUAUUAGCCUUAAAACCAUAAGGCAUGAACUAUUCCAAACAACCCUUAAAAAGAUAUGUAAAUUUUGUUUUUGAAUAUAUCAUUCUUACUUUUUUAGAUUUCAAAUUGGAUAGUGAAUUAUAUAUUUAUUUAUUUGAAACUCCUCUUAAAUUAAUGAGAGUGAAGUUUCUUAUUUAGAAUUGAUUGUUCUAUAAAGUAUUCAAAUUUUUCAAAUAGAUUUAUUUUUUCAAGUGUAGUUAAUAACCGCAAUAAAAACUAAAUUUUAUAAGUGAUGAAUUUAUAUUAAAAAUUGUUUGAUAAAUUCAUAAAAUAUAAGUUUGGAUUCAUCUACUUUUACAUUUUUUUUACCUAUUUAAAUUAGUUCUUAAUUUUCCUUAUUUUUAAAAAAUUUAUUCUUAAUUUUUUAUACAGAAAAUAUAAUCGACGUGGAAAUGAAAAAGUUAGGAGAGAAUAUGGUUAAACAUUGUGCAGGGCUUCCAUUAGCCAUUGUUGUAUUGGGAGGAAUUUUGGCUACAAAGAAUAAUUCAUUAAAUGAAUGGCGAAAGAUAUCUGACAAUAUAAAAUCAUACUUGAAGAAAGGCAAAAAUCAAAGACCAGAGGAUGUGUUAACAUUAAGUUAUGAUGAUUUGCCUCCCUAUCUAAGACCAUGUUUCCUCUAUCUAAGCCAUUUUCCGGAGGAUUAUAUGAUAGAUGUGGAUAGAUUGAUUCGAUUAUGGGUUGCUGAAGGUAUUGUGUCAUCAAAGCAAGAAGAAAGAGAUGAUGGGGAAAUUGCGGAAGAUGUGGCGGAAUCUUAUUUAAUGGAGCUUGUGGAAAGGUGCAUGAUUCAAGUACGAGAAAGAGAUGUGGCAACCUUAAAGGUCAAAACAAUUCAGAUGCAUGAUCUGAUGAGAGAUCUUUGCUUAUCAAAGGCAAAACAAGAAAAUUUUGUCUUCAUUGUUGAUCAAUCAAAUGCAUCUUCAUUAUCUAUGAUUCGGAACGUUCGAAGGGUUUCUGUGCAUGAGUUUUUUUCAUACAAUGCAUUAAAAGUCCAAAUAUUCGGUCACUUUUGUUCUUCAAUGAGUUUUUUCCGGAGGAGGCAUUAGAAAAAUCUUUGCCCUUGGAAGUGUUGAAUUACGUUGAAGAACAUGAAGAUGAAGUUUGUAAUCCACUUGUUUGGAUUCUUAUGAUUUCGCGAACUGGUACGAGCUUUCUUAAAGCUCGGGGAAUUUGGAGAUACAUGUUCAACAACUUCAAAUUGCUAAGAGCCCUAAACUAUGAGAGAACAACAUGUGAUCGUUUUGUAGGGUUUAAGUUACCCAGUGAUAUAGGUAAUCUCAUCCAUUUAAGAUUCUUGAGUCUAAAGGAUCUUGAGUUCACAUGGCCAAAGUUGCCAUCAUCUCUAGGCAACUUAAGGUGCUUGCAAACCUUGGAUUUAAGAGUUGAUAGUUACAAAAUUCAUGUACCUAAUGUGAUAUGGAGGAUGGAGCAACUAAGACAUUUAUAUCUCCCUUGGAGAUGUAAAAGCAGAACUAAGUUGAAGUUGGGUACUUUGAGAAAACUCCUAACACUUGUGAACUUCAACACCAAGAAUUGUUAUCUGAAGGAUCUUAUCAACAUGACAAAUCUUAGAGAGUUGGGGAUAAAUUUACCCUUCAAUUUUGAAAAUUUCAAUGAGAAGGAGUUGGGCGAGAAUCCAUUCAUAAUCGGAAGCAAAUAUCUUCAUUCCUUGUCUAUUAUUACCCGUAGGCUAAAGAUAUCAAUAGAUCCAAGACAUUUGGCCCACCUCCUUUCAACUUGUACAAGUAUUUGCAAGUUGAGUAUAGCAGCAGAGAUAAGUAAGUUACCAGAGUAUCACUACUUCUCUUCACAUCUCACUUACAUACGGUUGAGAUGGUGCAAGUUUGAGGAAGAUCCAAUGCCAACACUAGAGAAGCUGCCUAACUUAAGGAUUCUUGAAUUCGAAUGUUCUUUGAAAGGAAAGUAAAUGUUUUGCUCUGCUCAGGGUUUUCCUAAACUUGAGUCUCUAAUCCUUGCGGAGGUCGACAAUUUGGAGGAAUGGGAGGUGGAUGACGGAGCCAUGCCUUCUCUUCAGCGAUUGGAUAUCAGGCAUUGCCCAAGCUUGAAGAUGCUUCCAGAGGGAUUGAGCUCCAUUACAACCCUCAAAGAACUGAAGAUUGAAUCAAUGCCAAAGGCAUUCAAAGAAAGAUUGGAGAAAGGAGGAGAAGAUUUCUACAUAGUCAAAGAUGUUCCUUCUAUCAUACUCCAAUACUGUGGCUAAUAAAUUGAAUGAUAAUUGAGAGGUAAUUUCAUAACCUCUAGUUUAGGAAAUGAUUCCUACUUUCUUUGCUUCUUAUAUAUCUUCCGUUUUUGACAAUGUCUCACAUUCUCACUCAAUUUGUCAACACACCAAUGAAUAAUUACAUUUAUUAAAAGUCAAAGGAAGUCAUCUUUUUAGUUUUGCUUUUCAGGUAAAGACGCCAUUUUUUCACCUACUACUAUAAUGGCGUGUGAAAGUGUGUUAUAUGGUGAGAUUUGGAAUUAUCUUCUCUCUUGUAUAUAUUGUUGGAACAUUUUCAAAUAUUUAUAGUAUCCCAAUAACUAUAAAUGAAUGGGUGUAAUUAAUCAAAAGAUAAAUCUUUUGGUCAUUGGUCAAAAGUUAUAUCAUUUGAUUUUUUAAAAAAGAAUUAUAAUUAUUCAAAAAAUAUUAUUUGAAUAGUUACAAAAUUAAAGGAAUAAUUAUUAUUAUUUAUUUAUUCAUAAAGACACCUAUUGAAAGAUGUCUCUAUGAAGAGACAUGAAAAUUCCUAUAAAUAGGAAUGGGAUUUCAUUUGGAAAUCAUAUCAACAAAUUCUAAUAUUAUUUCUUCUCUUCCUUCAUUUUCUAAUAUUAUUAGAUUAUUCUAUAAAGUAUUCCUGCAGAAAUUCUUUGUAGAAAUUGAGUUUUUGUUACACAUUACUCAGUGCAUAGUGGACUAUUCUCGUCAGUGCAAAACACAAAUAGUCAUUGGCUUCAUUGUAUCCUCGAGGUUAAUUUGCUUGGAACUCAUUUGCACACUGAAGAUAAGUGGGGGCGAAUAUAACCUUAAUGAUAGUGGCUUGAUACACGCCUUGGAGCCUUGUCCUAUUUCUUCUUUUUCUUUUCGAGUUCCGAUCGUGUGUUCGAGAUUUUCCUUACCGGAGUUUUGUAAUAACAUAUAUCUAUGGUUGUUGACUGUUUGUUGUUUUCUUCAAAGUACAAUAAAACGGUUGCAAGAUAAGGUAUUGGAAGAAUGGGAGGUGUCUGGAUUAGCAAGGUACCAAAUAAGGAGACGUCAUAAAACAUAACAUUGCAGAUAAGGAGACAUCACUGACCUUUGUUCCCACAUAGCUUUGGUUUGCGGUGACCAUUCCUAUAUUUAUUUGUUAGCUUUGCUUUCUCUUUCUUUUUUUUCCCUUAAGUCUGCUUGAGUCUUUUUCUUUUUUUAUAUGUACUUAAUGUAAUAGUAGAAGCCAAGGCAGGACCAUGCUUUUCUAUUGUAAAAUUCAUCACUUCGUUAUUUUAUAUUUGUAUGUUGACACAUUUCCCGUUUCAACAUAUUUCCUUAUUUUAUGCAAGUCGAUUGGUAUUCAUCAUAAAAAUUACGAUAUCAUAUCAAGUUUAAUGGUUACACUUCCAAAACAAAAAAUAGGAAAAAUUAAAUCUUACCAACUAAUAACACUUUCAAAUUACACUGUCUUACAAAAAAAAAAAAAAAAAAGAAGAAGAUACAAUUUGAAUUUUUUUAUCAAAUGGUUUAGCAAGCUAUGCUUUAUAAAAGAGGCAAAGGAAUCCAAGGGAAUCAAAGAUUCCAAAAUCGAUAUUUAGAUUCAAGAUUUUGUAUCCCCAUGCUUUGCUUCUUAUAUCUACCAACAAUAUCUUGAUGAUAACAAACUAAAAAAAACUAUUCAAGGGAAUCGAAGAUUUCAAAUCCAACAUAAUUGAUUGAAAAUUUCACAUCCACUUAAUUAAUUCAAAUGAUAUUUAGUCAAUAAGUUUAAAUUAAAAACUGCAAGAAUCUUCAUUUAUCUUUUAUUCGAAAUGUAAUUCGGAUUCAAUGAAAAUAUUGAACAUAUAAUGUGUGCACAUGGAAAUGUCCAAAUCUUUAAAUAUAGGGUCGACAUGGGAGAAAUCUCCUCAGACAUUGAAUUUAUUGAGUGCAUUUUCAGAGGAAAAUCCUGAAACAUGUUACAGGCAAAUAUUAAGAAAAACAAUGCACAAGCAUAAGUACAAAAACAUAGCAUGCAAGAAAUCAAUACUUGAAAGGAUUAAAAUCACUGCUAACCUAAGACAUUGAAUCUAGCACCACUAGGAAACAUCCGAAAUGAUACUUGUCUUUCAAUGUUGAGAUACAUACGUCCAAGUCUGCCAUGUUGCGCCAAACUGGAAUUCAUCAACCUNNNNNNNNNNNNNNNNNNNNNNNNNNNNNNNNNNNNNNNNNNNNNNNNNNNNNNNNNNNNNNNNNNNNNNNNNNNNNNNNNNNNNNNNNNNNNNNNNNNNUUAUAUAUAUAUAUAUAUAUAUAUAUACAGACACACACACAGAUAGACAUGAAGAAAGUGGGUUAAUGGUGUAUUAUUUAAGUAAAGAAAAAGUUGAAAUCUUAAACCUCUAAAUAUUGGGUAACAGCUAGUGUUAAAAGUGCAUAAAGUUCUUCUAUUAUCUACAAGAAACAAUGGAGGAAUCACAUACAUUGUUUAUAUUCACUUUUCUUGCUACACAAGCAAGCUGAGUCCAUAAACAAAGGCAUACCUUUUCUCCGUUUUUAAAUGGUUUUCUUGUUUCUUGGCUGCUUUUUAUAUUAAGAAGAGAGAUUGUGAGACCUCGUCAUCCUCAAGGAGUAAGUGGUCCAGCAUGAAGAUGAUGGGAAGACCAUGAGUCGAUGGUGGUCAAUCCAUGAGUUGAUUAUGAGUAGUUUCAUGUUAUGAAAUAAAAAUGUUAGCUAAAGUUAGUUGAACGCUGUGUUUUAGGGUUGAGGGUUUAAUGAAACUAUCAGUUUUGAUGUUGAAUGAAAAUGGUGCGUAUUGACGGUUUGUUACAACUGCUCGAGGAACAGCCCUAUAACAGACUUUGUAACUGCCAAUUCUCAGCCAUAAUAGAAACUGGCAUGGGAAAUGGGCAGAUAUGCCAUUUUGUGAAGGAAAUCAAUUCUUUCUUCUUCCUUGAUUCUCUUUCUCUUCUCUCUUUUUCUUUCUUCCUCUAUUCUGUUGAAAUUAUGCAUCACUUCACCAGUAUUCAUCAUUGUGGACGUAUCUGAUCUUCAGUCUCUGGUUUACUGCCCAUGUAAAGUUAUGGAAAGAAAUGCAAAUUUAAAAGGAUUUCUUGCUAUAGUCUAUGCAAUUUCAUGUGUGCGUGAAAGGAGAUGAAGAUUAAUAGAGUAAUACUGAUAUACCAACAAUUCAUUAAUUGAAGUACUAUCAAUAUUAUCAACAAGUAACAGGAUUAAGUGAGUAUACUAAUAUAGUCUAGAAAAGCAAUUUAAUUAAUAAUACCAUAGGGAUGGCAAGAGGGUGAAGUUGCUAUUGCUAUUUAUAUCUCAGCUGCUAGCUUUUGACGACUUCACCAAGUAAACUGCAAUCACAAGUGUUGUUCUUAUUACCUGCAAAAACAGAGCCAACAAUCUGAAUCCAUAUCCCCAUUUUAGGAACAANNNNNNNNNNNNNNNNNNNNNNNNNNNNNNNNNNNNNNNNNNNNNNNNNNNNNNNNNNNNNNNNNNNNNNNNNNNNNNNNNNNNNNNNNNNNNNNNNNNNCCGUAUCUGACACUUAUAUUCAACACAUAUUCAUGUAUUGGUAUGAAGAUAUGAUAUUCUUAUCCUAUACUCAUAUCCGUGCUCAGGUAACAUAAACUGAACCCGCAAGAUAACUGAUUUAACAUUGCAUUGCUGCUAGCUAUUGAUGAUUUCACCAAGUAAACUGCAAUCACAAGUGUUGUUCUUAUUCCUUGAAAAAACACAGUCAACAAUCUGAAUCCACAUUCCCAUUUUCGGAACAAAACCAUGGCGUACCAUUUGUUUCAAAGCCCAAUCAACUUCCUUUACCAUCUUCCCCUUAUAAAAACCAUGAAUCAACUUCUUGUAUGAAUCAAAACUAGGAUUAACCCUCUCGAAAACCAUUCUCCCCAUAAUCUCCUUUGCUUCCAUAAACCUCGCAGCAUCAAGCAAACCAUACAACACCUCUUGAUAAGACCCUGCAUUGGGAUAACACCCUUUCUUUUUCAUAAUUUCCAACAGCUUCACACCUUCAUCAAUCCUACCUUGUUUCCUAAGACCUGAAAUCAAGAUAUUAAAGCUAACAGCAUCAGCAUCGAUUCCUUCCGUUUCCAUCCUCCCCAUCAACUCAAAAGCUUCAUCAACCUUCCCCUUAUCGCACAACCCGUGCAUUAAAGUAGAAUAAGUUCUAACAUUAGGCUUACACCUUUGUUUAGGAAAUUCAUCGAGCAGUUGGAAUGCAAACUCUAAUUUCCCAUUUUCACACAACCCUUUAAUGAGAAUAUUCAGAGUACAAGCUUCGAUUUCAACACCCAAAUUGGGAGGUAAACCUCGUGAACAACAUCAAAUAGUUUGUUCGAUACGAGUAAGCUCAAUACGAUAUUGAAGGUUUUAACACUAGGCCAAGUCCCAUAUUCUGGCAUACUAAAAAGGAUCUCGAUUGCCCUUUUGAUUCGANNNNNNNNNNNNNNNNNNNNNNNNNNNNNNNNNNNNNNNNNNNNNNNNNNNNNNNNNNNNNNNNNNNNNNNNNNNNNNNNNNNNNNNNNNNNNNNNNNNNNNNNNNNNNNNNNNNNNNNNNNNNNNNNNNNNNNNNNNNNNNNNNNNNNNNNNNNNNNNNNNNNNNNNNNNNNNNNNNNNNNNNNNNNNNNNNNNNNNNNNNNNNNNNNNNNNNNNNNNNNNNNNNNNNNNNNNNNNNNNNNNNNNNNNNNNNNNNNCAGCCAGUCUUUGUGGGUUAGUUUGAAAAGGGCAGGGGAAGUGGAGUGGGUUGGUUGAUGGUAGCUGGAAAAUGAGGAGAAAAACGAAAGGGGUUUAAGAGAUGAGAUUUUAGUGGCGAUUGGAUGGUGAAAAAGUGAGGGAAAAUUUUGGGGGUAAGAGCUUUUGACAGAAGAAAGAAGGGAACGUGAAAUCAUGCGUUUGGCCAUUGGAGAAUGUAGAAACUGGAGAGCUAAAAGCUUUGUGCUAUUCGCACUAUAAACAUAUAUAGGGUAAGGGACAGGCUUAAUACUUGUUUUGUCCCCUGUAAUAUAGUAAAAAAUCUCAUUUUGACCCUUUUCCUUUACUUUGUCUGUUUACUUUCAUUUCGUCCAUCAUGUUAGUCUAUUGAUCAUUUCCGUAAAUCCCAUGUGUUAGGGUUCCUAUAUUAUAGUAUUCAUCCAUAUACUUUAACCCUCCACGUAGUCGCAAUCAAUUGGCUUAAAUGAUCACACACGAGGAUCACUAUAGUAUAAGGACCAAAGUGAGAAUUUUAUUAUUAAUUAAGUGACAAAUACGUAAACAUGCACUAAUUUUUUUAUACAGAAAUGGUCAAAGAAUUAAAGUGAUAGAUGAAAUGAAAGUAAAGGGCGCAAAGUGAUUGGAAAAUUAGUAAAAGGUUGGAAAAUAUGAAGAGAUUGUAUGAUGCAAAACUUAAAUAAUUUAUCUACUGCAAUUUUGAGGUGUAUUAAUUUGAAGUAAUGAAUCAUUGUUAUUUACAACUAUAUAUUAUAUCUCUUUGAAAUGUACAAAUAAAUUAAUGGGCAGAAUGUUUAUGAAUGUCAAAACUUUAUUUUUGCUUCUUCUUCCCUUCAAGAAUUGGUUGGAUUUGGAGAUGCCAAUUGAAAGCCUGGUUCAAAAGGAAUCGAGUUUGGAAUGCCGAAAUGAUCGGAAGCCAUGCCAAUAUAGCAAUUGGAGAGAAAAGGAUCGAUCCCAUUCCGUAAUCAUAUGCCUUAGCUAGUACCUCAGUGAACUGCCAGAGUCCGGUGUUCUCAAUAAUUGGCCUCACAGCUUGAGCAACCUGAAGGGAACUAAAAUGUCAGAGGGAAUAAGGCAAAAGAUGUAAACUCUAGACAAAAACUAUAUGCCGAUCCUCUAAAUAUAUGAACAAAUUUAAAAAAAAAAAUUGGCCAUGCCCGUAUUUGAUACUUAUUGUUGAAUUCGAGUAACAUAGUCAACUAGACAUACCAAAAUCAGACCCCAUCCAGUCAGCAGAAAUGCAAGACAGCAGACAAGUAAAUCCUUGAACGACAGUUCACAGAUGACUGAGAGACUAAUAACAAUGGCCAAAAUCCUUUACAAUUGUUUGAUUCCUCAGUCAUAUUGCCUUGGAAUCUUCGGAAGUCAAGACAAGUCUAGCUCAUCAGCUUUGCCAUUCAUCUUGAAACUCCAAGCCAAUAUGUCGUGCGUGAACCCAGGCUAUAUAAACAAUGCAAAUAAAAUAUAUGAAAUCACGGUGUACUGUAAGUAUAGAGAUUAAAUUGUAAUAUAGUUUUAGAUUUAUAAUGAAAUACAAAAAUAUUUCAAAAAUCGUACUCAAAGAAAGUAUGAACUAAAAUUGAAUUAAACAUUAACAAAGAAUAUGCAAAACUAAGUCUAAAUAGCUACUUCCUUAAUUAUGAUAGUAUGAUUAAACAUAAAUUGAAAGUAUAAAACUGGUAGACAAAUCAAUGAGAAAUGACAAACAAUAGUUCAUUAAUAUCCAUGAUUGUAAUUAAUCUAGACUUAUUCUACCAAAUAAUCAAUUUAGUCCUCUUAUCUUUCGAGCUGAUGGAUCUAAAUGGGACAACUGAAUCAGUUCUAGAUAAAAUCUCCUUUCAAUCUCAUCUACUUAAAUUUUCAUCUAGAGUCAUCAAUUUGAUCCAAUUAAUCAACUCAAAGCCUAGAAUUAAAUUAACUAUUCUCACUUCAAUUAACCAACUUUCUCAAAAAUUUAGUUAAGACCCAUUCUAAUGAUACUAGACCCACUUAAUUCGUAAACCAUGAAUAAAGUUAAUGAUACGAAAGAAUAGAGUUGAGAGAUGCGCAAUAAUCCAAAAAUUUCUGAUUGUGGAUAUCUUCUUUGAGUAGCAACUGAAAUUCUCAUAACGAAAGCGUGAAAUGAAAAAAUAAAUAUAUUUUUAUUAAAAUGAGUAUGAAGCGAGUGAAAUGAAAAAGAAAGGAAAACGGAUAAGGCUCCGAUUAAAGUUACUUUAAACAAGUAAAUAUAUUUUAUUCAAAUUUAUAGUUUAUUAUAUUUAUCUGUAAUCCUCACUUUAAAAAAGCAUUCCAAAUAUGCUUCCUCACUAGAGGUAAUAAUGGGUUGGACGGCCCGGCCUGACGGCCCACCCGAAAUAUGGGAGGAUUUGGGUAAAAAUAUAAGCCCGAAAUAUGGGUUUGGGUAAAAAAUGAGACCCGUUUAGAAAACGGGCUGGGCCUUAGGCAAAAAGUUUUUGGCCUGGGCCGAGCCUGGACAAAAUUUUAGUCCCAUAUUUUGGGCCGGGGUAGGCCCAGGGAUAGGACGUAGGCUGAAAAUUUUUUUUGGGCCUUGCCCGAACCCAGCCCGGCUCGGCCCAUGAUCACCUCUGUUCCUCACCUUAUCAUUUUUGCUUUUUUUCAAGUGCCAUUAUAAUUUUUGUUAAUCUUUCUUUUCCCUUAAUUAAAGCUUGAUGACUUAUAUUAUAUAUAUCCAUUUUAAAGAAAAUGUCACUAAAUUAUUGCUUUCGUUCUGUUUUGGUUAUUAAAUUAUUAAUUUUUUCGAUUUCGUUACUAAAUUUUUCGAAAUUAAUUAUUUUGAUCACUUUCUCGUUAAUUGUCAUUAGAUAAGUGAGGAAAAGCUAACACAAGUUUAUUUUAUUGUUCAAAGUAAUCCCUAUAUAUUAAAUAAAAAUUCAAUUUAAUUAUUGAAUUAAACUAAAAAUUCAAAUAAACUCAUAAUAUUACAACUUUUUUAUUAUAUAUAAUAUUUCCAAAUAAUAAAUUUAAAUUUAUUAUGAUUAUCAAACUUUUGUUUCAAUAUACCUACUAUAGUAUAUUUUCACUUUUUAAAUUGAUUAUAAUUAUUUUUUAAAUGUUAAUUUAAUAAUACGAUAAAAAAAUAAAUGAUAUUUUUAUCGAUUUAAUUUUUUUAAACUUAUGCUUUUAUAGAUAUUAUAGAUGGAUUAUAGAUUAUAGGAAUAGGGUCUAAUGGCUAAAAAGAAAAAUUAUGUACCGGCUAUGUGAAGGCAUUAUACAAUGGAUCAUCAAAGUAGAAAGAUUAGUAUUAGAUAAAGUGAAAGUGAGUGUCCUCCACUCAUUUUACUUUUAAAAAAAAAAAUUUAAACAAAAAAGACUUUACUUUUGUUCUACGAACCUUUCUGUUUGUAGGAUUUCUGCACUCACAUCUUGAAAUCCAAAUUCAAGAUUUUAAAGAAAUUUCUGAGCUUACUCACUAUUAUGGCUUGGUCUGCUGUGACAUCUGCAGUGACAACAAUUGGCAACCUACUAACUCAGGAAGCCAUAUACCUAUGGGGUGUGGAGGAGCAAGUUAUGGAUGCAAAGCUCCUUAAUGGAGGCAGAGACAAAACAAUCAAAGGAUGAGAGGAUUCGUCUGUGGCUUGCUGAAAUCAGAGAGCUUGCUUAUGAUGCUGAGGAUAUUGUUGAGGAAUUUGCUCUCAAGAUUGGAUCCAAAAACAAAGGUGGCCUUCCGAGUUGUAUUAAAAGAUCAGCCUGCUGUUUGAAAGAGGGAUGGGUGCUCCAUGAAACCAGGUCAAAGAUCGAGAAAAUCAUAGAAAGAAUCAACGACUUGGUCCGGCGACUACAGGCCUACGGAGUAAAGGAAUUAAAGGACAGAGGAGAAGAAUCAAGUUUUUCAACUGAAAGACGAGAAUCAAGGCGGCCUUAUCCACAUAUUAUGGAUGAUAAUAUUGUUGGACUAGUUGAUGAUACCGAGGGAUNNNNNNNNNNNNNNNNNNNNNNNNNNNNNNNNNNNNNNNNNNNNNNNNNNNNNNNNNNNNNNNNNNNNNNNNNNNNNNNNNNNNNNNNNNNNNNNNNNNNNNNNNNNNNNNNNNNNNNNNNNNNNNNNNNNNNNNNNNNNNNNNNNNNNNNNNNNNNNNNNNNNNNNNNNNNNNNNNNNNNNNNNNNNNNNNNNNNNNNNNNNNNNNNNNNNNNNNNNNNNNNNNNNNNNNNNNNNNNNNNNNNNNNNNNNNNNNNNNNNNNNNNNNNNNNNNNNNNNNNNNNNNUUGAUGAUGUUUGGACCAGUGAAGCUUGGGAUAGUCUAAAACCUGCCUUUCCAGUUGCAACGGGCCGUGAUAGCAAUAGCAAGAUAUUGCUCACCUCUAGAAACAAGGGGAUAGUUUCAGAUGCUGAGAUAAGAG
rnacentral:lncRNA from 1 species